UACGUAGGCAGCAAGCGUUGUUCGGAGUUACUGGGCGUAAAGGGUGUGUAGGCGGUCCCCUAAGUUUGGUGUGAAAUCUCCCGGCUCAACUGGGAGGGUGCGCCGAAAACUGGGGGGCUAGAGUACUGGAUGGGAGAGUGGAAUUCCUGGUGUAGCGGUGAAAUGCGUAGAUAUCAUCAGGAACACCGGUGGCGAAAGCGGCUUACUGGGUCUCUUCUGACGCUGAGGAACGAAAGCUAGGGUAGCGAACGGG
rnacentral:rRNA from 1 species